rnacentral:tRNA from 1 species
GGGUGGAUACCCAAGUGGCUAAAGGGGCCAGACUGUAAAUCUGGUGGCGUUCGCCUUCGCAGGUUCGAAUCCUGCUCCACCCA